GAUGAAUGCUGGCGGCGUGCCUAACACAUGCAAGUCGAGCGGCAGCGCGGUCUUCGGACUGGCGGCGAGCGGCGGACGGCUGAGUAACGCGUGGGAACAUACCCCAAAGUGAGGGAUAACCGCCCGAAAGGGUGGCUAAUACCGCAUAUGAUCUUCGGAUUAAAGGAUUUAUCCGCUUUGGGAAUGGCCUGCGUACGAUUAGAUAGUUGGUGAGGUAAAGGCUUACCAAGUCUACGAUCGUUAACUGGUCUGAGAGGAUGAUCAGUCAGACUGGAACUGAGACACGGUCCAGACUCCUACGGGAGGCAGCAGUGAGGAAUCUUCAACAAUGGGCGAAAGCCUGAUCCAGCAAUGCCGCGUGCAGGAAGAAGGCCUUCGGGUUGUAAACUGCUUUUGUACGGAGCGAAAAGGCUCUCUCUAAUACAGGGGGCUCAUGACGGUACCGUAAGAAUAAGCACCGGC
rnacentral:rRNA from 1 species